GCCUGAUGCCAAAACUUGAAAUGUAUUCCCUUGUUUUACAAGUGGUCGCCUUAUGUCGAAACUUGAAAUGUAUUCCCUUGUUUUCCAUGUGGGCGCCUGAUGUCGAAACUUGAAAUGUAUUCCCUUGUUUUCCAUGUGGGCGCCUGAUGCCAAAACUUGAAAUGUAUUCCCUUGUUUUCCAGGUGAGCGCCUGAUGCCGAAACUUGCAAUGUAUUCCCUUGUUUCCUAGGUGGGCGCCUGAUGCCAAAACUUGAAAUGUAUUCCCUUGUUAUCCAGGUUGGCUCCUGAUGCCAAAAUUUAAAAUGUAUUCCCUUAUUAUCUAGGUGGGGGCCUAAUGCCAAAACAUGAAAUAUGUUUCGUUGUUAUCAAGGGGGGCGCCUGAUGCCAAAUCGUGAAAUGUAUUCCCUUGUUAUCCAGGUGGGCGCCUAAUGCCAAAUCGUGAAAUGUAUUCCCUUGUUUUUCAAUUGGGCGCCUGAUGCCAAAACUUGAAAUGUAUUCCCUUGUUUUCCAGGUGAGCGCCUGAUGCCGAAACUUGGAAUGUACUCCACUGUUUUCUAGGGGAGCGCCUGAUGCCGAAACUGGCAAUGUAGUCCCUUAUUUUCCAAGUGGGCUUUUGAUGCCAAAACU
rnacentral:lncRNA from 1 species